CCUACGGGAGGCAGCAGUGAGGAAUAUUGGUCAAUGGCCGGAAGGCUGAACCAGCCAUGCCGCGUGAAGGUCAGUGCCCUAUGGGCGUUAAACUUCUUUUGUGCGGGAGCAAUAAUGGUCACGUGUGGCCAGACGAGAGUACCGUACGAAUAAGCAUCGGCUAACUCCGUGCCAGCAGCCGCGGUAAUACGGGGGAUGCAAGCGUUAUCCGGAUUUAUUGGGUUUAAAGGGUGCGUAGGCUGUGAGGUAAGUCAGCGGGGAAAUGCCCCCGCUCAACGGGGUGAAGUGCCAUUGAUACUGCCUUGCUGGAAUGCGGAGGCGGUGGGAGGAAUGUGUGGUGUAGCGGUGAAAUGCAUAGAUAUCAGACAGAACACCGAUUGCGAAGGCAUCUCACGAAUCCGCGAUUGACGCUGAUGCACGAAAGCGUGGGUAUCAAACAGGAUUAGAUACCCUUGUAGUC
rnacentral:rRNA from 1 species